rnacentral:rRNA from 1 species
GACGAACGCUGGCGGCGUGCCUAAUACAUGCAAGUUGAGCGAUGAAGCUUGGUGCUUGCCCCAAUUUGAAGAGCAGCGAACGGGUGAGUAACGCGUGGGGAAUCUGCCUUUGAGCGGGGGACAACAUUUGGAAACGAAUGCUAAUACCGCAUAACAACUUUAAACAUAAGUUUUAAGUUUGAAAGAUGCAAUUGCAUCACUCAAAGAUGAUCCCGCGUUGUAUUAGCUAGUUGGUGAGGUAAAGGCUCACCAAGGCGAUGAUACAUAGCCGACCUGAGAGGGUGAUCGGCCACAUUGGGACUGAGACACGGCCCAAACUCCUACGGGAGGCAGCAGUAGGGAAUCUUCGGCAAUGGACGAAAGUCUGACCGAGCAACGCCGCGGGAGUGAAGAAGGGUUUCGGAUCGUAAAACUCUGUUGGUAGAGAAGAACGUUGGUGAGAGUGGAAAGCUCAUCAAGUGACGGUAACUACACAGAAAGGGACGGCUAACUACGUG